AUCAAAUAAGGAACAUCUUAACAGAACCUAGGAACCACGGCAUAAAUAAAGAACGAAAUACAAAACACAAAAACUAAGAAUACUGGCCCAGGACCAUGACAUUUCUUAGAUCCUCAGGUCUUAGCUUAAAAUGAGCUUGCACCUAGUGAUAAUUUGCUUUAUUGAUUAACCUUCACUCGUCUAAAUUCUAUAUAAAACCUAUAGUAAGUCAGAACCUUGCCACAGGUUUUAAGCCAGAUCAUUAUAUUUCAGUAAAAAAAAAUCAUACAUUUUAUCACACAUCUCAGCGAGCUGCGAUUAACCACCGCCUAGUUGCCUAAAAAAUCAAUUGUAGAUUGCUGAUUGUUUUUCUGUCAAUCAAUAGACUGAUUAUUCGUGUAGGAAAAAAUUAGUAUUUGAACGGCAAUUCGCCAACUGUGUGCAAACAACAGUCCAAGUGAUUUGGCACUUGGACACAGGCAGUGGUUCGUUGGGCUUGUUUCUGGGAUAUCUGACACGUUCUCGCUCUGAUCAGUGUCUGGAGUCCAUGACAGAUUAAACACCUUGGUGUUUUGAUCCACUUCUAUCCAACAAAGAUUGCAGACGGUUGCGACCGGAUGGUGGGUCAGUCUGAAGCAACGUUUAGACGUUAACAUCAAGUAACGUCUACGUGAAUGCCAGGAUGCAGGGUUGCGCAGCAGAACGUAGAUGAUAAAUGUUUUGCACUUGGUCCACCAGUGGUUUUAACUGGGGAUUAAACUGGAAUCUGUGUAUUUGGUUCAGUUGUGCACCCUUAAGCACCAUCGAGUGUAUCCCAGUGAUGCAGUCCUUUCAAUCAGCCCUUGAAAUAUCACAAAAACAGCUUCAUACAUAAGUUCCUUAUUAUUUUUAGUUUUAUUAACGCAUGUGAGCUUUUGUCUGUGAUGGAGAGCUACAUCUUACAUGGUGGUUUGUUAUUUGUUGGCAACGUAGACGUGUUAGUUCUUGGCAGUAAAAGGACCGCGAAAGCUGCUUCUCUAAGCUGCUGAUGUAUCACAGAUAUGUGGUUCUUGCAAUAAUCCUCAUUUUUUGUGUAUUUUUGCUUUCUUUUUCACUUUUACAAAAAUGUACUUGCCCUUUAUGCCUAAACACGCUGCCUGCAACAACUUUCACUUGAGGACAGCAAAGGGAUAAUAAUGAAUAAAAGAAAAUGGAAUGGUUAACUAAACCUGCUCAUCAUAUAAAAUCACAAUAUUUCAGGUUAUAACAGCUGGCAGAGCAAAGUAUGUUUAAAACAGAAAAGAAUAGCAGGGGUUUUAUUUAUUUAUUUCUCCCUCAUCCUCCUCCAGAUCUAAUACAGUAUAUCAGGUGAGCGAGGUGAAGACAUCAAGUCCUUUGCAUCUCCACGUCAUGCAGUGUGACUAAGCCUCGCCCUCUUUAAGACCUCAAGGAUCUGAUUAAAAUCCCUCAGUUUUACUUGCGUGACUAAAGCUAAAGAUGCUGUAACCUCUGACUCACUCUGACUUCAGCAGCUGAGAACUGUCUCAAAAAUACAUGAAAUUAUUGUUAUUUUCUACAUUUUUUUAAACAUAUAAUUAAGAUGAAGUCAUAGUAGGAUCCUUAACUUGACUUAAUUUGACACACAUUUCUUAAAACUCGCACCAACUCCUCUUGGCAAUGAAAAAAACAUUUUUUUCCUCUUAAUCCUUUCAGCACAAAAAUGCAUAUUUCACAGGUCUGCAAAGGAGUGGUCUCAUCCCCACAGCCCCUGCCUCAUGUGCUGCUAUUAAUUGCUCAUUAAACACCACAACAUGCUGGCAGUGGCCCAGCGGGGACAUGAAUGUAACCGCAUGGAUAACAAAGAAAAUACAAAUAUAAUAAUCAGUGGACCUCGACCAAAUGCAAUGUAGUAACAUUGCGGCAGUGGCGGCAGUGAAGUAACAAAUAAACCUGUUACGACUCCAGCUCACUGGGGUAAGGGGGAGGAGCAUUAAUUAACCAGAUGGAAGAGGUUAAAUGGGAGUUAAUUUAUUUAUUUUAUAGAUUUUUCCACUGGCAACGAAAUUUUAGAAGCAAAGCAAUCACAAGACAAAGAAGAAGAAAAGCAGAAGUGUGUCGCAGUUAUUGUUUGUGGAGUUUUAGUUGAGGACCAGCUAUUCAGGGCAAAUAUAUGUGCUCACAAAUAGGUCUAAAACGUAACAAAAGUACAACCAAAACACAUUAAAGUGGUAGAAUCCAAAAAGGUAGAGGGGUAACAAAGGAAAGACAGCAUAUAUAAGCAUACACUGAAGGCUGAUGGGAACAUAAUUACUGGAAGAGAGAACAACCAGAGAGUUGGAGAAGACACGGGAAGUAAAACUAGUGCAGGAAAUACUAAACACAGACACAAGAUUAACACUCGUCAUAAAGACAGAAACGAGGGAAGAAUUGAGGAAAAAGGAAUGAACAGGAAGACAAACUAAGAAAUCAAAGUUUACACUAGAACAAUCAUAAAAUGUCUCCAAAAGUGAACCAGAAAUUCAUUCUUCCACUUUGAGCAGAGACACCCAGACCCCCCUUUGCUCAGCCACAUGCACCAACUCUUCUGGGGGACACCAAGAUGUUCCCAAGCCAGCGAAGGGAGUGUCUAGGGUCUGCUACCAGUGGAACAUCCCUAGGUGUUUUGGGUGCCUCCUUUCAAUGUGGAGGAGUAGAAUCUGUACUCUGAAACGUUCCUGAUCUCCUCACCAUUUGUCCCUAAGAGAGACACCCUUCAGAUCCUAAUUUUUCCAGUCACUACCCAGAGGUCAGGUCGUGACCAAACAAGUAUCCAAAAAUAUAAGAACCAAAACUUCAAACAAUACAAUAAAUAAAUACGCGAGUUUACCUGAUGUCCCUGGCCAAUGAUCGUACACUCAUUGCCGCCUACCUAAAAAGAAAAAAGACAAGAGGCAGUAGCACCUCUCAGCCUAGUGCCAGGGAUGUGUAUGAAUGAGAAAUGCCUCAGCUAAGAAGAGGCAACACCCAAUAUCAAGUCACCUUGAACUUCGCAGUGUGCAAACAGGAGGUAUGAGUCCUUUUAACAGUUUUCAUGGUGCUGUGGAUGGAGCCGGGGGCUGGAGAACCGGAUUAAUCAAAGGUGGCAGUAGGCGGGAUGCAGGAGGAGCAGUCAGGUGAAGAAGAGCAAAGAAGCAGAUGCGGGGGCUUGCACACACCAUCCAGCAUACUGAUCGCUUAAAUUACUCAAGCAGGGAGGAGAGGAGCGACUCAGGGCUGUAGCAGAGCGGCAUCCAGCUACAGAUUGUGCCAUGACCUUCCUGUUCAUCCUGAAAGUGGAAGGGAAAAGGAUUUUUCUUUUGUUGCCUGCUACUGCAACACUUUUCCUGCUCUGAGCACUGACAGGUCAGGUCAGUAUCUCAGUCCCAGUACAGCCAAGUGUCACUUGGGAAUCUUCACCUUUGACGGUUCGUGGAAAUAUUGGCUAUUCCCAGUGCUGCUAAGUGGAAGUUAAUUGUGCAAUCUGACUUUCCGCGGUCAAUAAGCUGCGCCUAGUUAGGUUUAAUUAAGAUUUGCUUGGCAAUUCUUCACUCAGACAAUCUAAAAAUAAAGUCCAGGUCUGGUUGAUUAAUGUUUGCUUAAACACACUAUAUAUUGUUUAUAAUAUAUUACAAAAAAAUGUGAAAAACAGAUGCUUGUUAAAUUGACAGAUUGUAUUGACUUAUGCUUUCCUUCCUCUCCCCUCACAUAAAUACGAGCCUGUGACAUGCAGGCUUUUAUCUCCUUGUAAAGGAGGCUAAAUGGAGCAAAAGACCAGACAGCGUUACAGGAGCAAUAAAGUAAAAGCUGGAGUCUGUCAUAACGGCUAAGAGACAUUUUGAACUCAUCACGGUGCUCAUCGCGGUCCGUCGUCUCUCGCCCUUUAGCCGUCUGCUGAUUAAGUAGAUUGCUGUCCAGGAAAUGUUUAAGAAUGAAUCACCACUAAGGGAGAUCAGUCUUCAACAUAAAGCGCUGUGGUGUGUUAUGAGUGAGCCGUAAAAGGCCUCUGUUGAGCAUAAUGGCCCAGAUCAGAUAUAUGAUUGAAGUCUGUUUUAUGGAAGCUCAUUUAAAACAGUUAGAAAAGUCUGAUAAAUGUGAAGAUCUCGGUGCCUCGUUUACAAUAAAGGUCAUUUUUAAGUUGUUGCUGUUGCUGAUCUUAUGCAAUUCUUUGCAGUAGCACUUAGAUGAAGCAGCUUCAUCCUGCAGCAUAAUGUGUGUGGGCGUGUCAGAAUACUCUGUGCAUAUGGAGACACGCAGAGAUAGAAGAAGUUAUGUUAGGAGUUUCACAGCCCACCUUUGUGCUUUUGCCCUUGUUGGGAAGACACGGUUAUUUUAAGGGAGUAAUGAAAAGGUCCAGUAAAUAAGAAGCUGCGAGAAACUGCCGGAUAUUUCUCUGAGUUGUGUGCUGUGUGUGUAUACUUAUUAUAUCUCACUGCAUUUUACAGAACGGGAUCGAUUGGUAGGCAGCAGUGAAGUUAUAGCAUGUACAUAAAAUGGUGAUUUAAAGAAAAUUAUGUGAAGCCUUCUAAAAAACGAGCUAAUGUUGUGGUUACGGUCAACACGAUCGUCAGUGAUUGUAGGAUUUAGCUAGGUAAGCUACGUAAAAGCCUUCAGGAACAGGUAUAGACAAAGUAAAAACCGGAAGUGAAGUGAUUGCGGAAGUUUUUCCACAGUUUUCUGCAGAAUGUUUUUGCAACUGCUGCAGCAAACUGCUUCCGUGUCAUCUGGGAAUCCCUUUGCUCCUGCAUUGAUGUAACUCAAAGAUGACUGGCUGGUGCUUUUAGCCUGACUGUGUAACAAAACGGUGUGGAUGUAAAUAGUCGUCAUUAUGUUAUUAUAGGAAGAGUCAUUUUUAUUGUGCCUUUCUGGUCUGACCAUUCAAGGCUCUUAACACCGAGAGUCACUUUCACUGAUUCACACACAGAUUCAUACUUUACUUAUUCUGUGCACUUUAAGAGCUUUACCUGGAAACCGUUUCCAGGUAACCCAGCAAUGAUGAUCUUGGACUGAGCACAGAAAGAAACCAGCAGACCAGCAGAUAAAAACCAACCACUGUGCUGCAGCACAUAGGUGUGCUGUGAGAAAUGAUCAGGUGUGCUGUGGAAGACUACCUGGUUCCACCUGAUUAAUACUCUUCCAUCCAAGUACUAACCAAGCCCAACCCUGCUUAGUUUCUGAGAUCAGUCGAGAUUGGGUGUGCUCAGGGUCGUAUGGCUGUAAGCUGAUUAGUGCUCUAAGUGACCUGCCUGAGUAACGGACAUAACAAAUACAUUUUCUUCCACUAGAGGGCAUUACAACUCCUUGCUCUAACUAACUGGGUUACCAACUGCUGGUAAAACACAAGAAGAUGAAGAAGAAAUUACAUAUUAGUCAUAGGAAUGAAUAAAUAUUUGAAAAGAAAAAGUAGUCAGUCAGACCUGGGUCCAAGAGAAAAUUCCCACCCAGAUGAAGGCCCUAGCAUGAGUAGUGGUCAGAAGGAAGCAAAAAAGGUAUACUGGGGACAAACCGAGCCAAUUUUGCUACGCCUGGUGUGCGGGGAAAAAUAAUCAAUAUGCUUUUUGUGACGUUUUUGCUUGGUGGUGUGCCCUGUAAUUUUUCUAAUGUGAAAUAGUGGCUCCAAAAGGUUUGGAAUCACUGCGCUAGAGCAAGGGUGUCAAACAUAUGGCCCUGGGACCAGAAUUAGCUCACCAAAGACUCCAGUCUGACACUGGAUGGCUUUGGAGAAUGUAAAGGAAGGUAUAGAUUUUGGACUUUUAACUAAGCUUUACAGCUUUUCCUACUUACAAAGAAUUUCCCCAAGAAUGUUCAUACUAGAAACCAAGGUUACAAAGUAAUAGAUAAACAUUUAAAUAGCAGAAAAAAUCCUGGUUAUUUAGAAUUUUAUGGUGAGUCAAUAGUUAAAUAAAAAGAUAAGAAAAGUUAACAAAAACUUUCUGUUGUAAUCUCAGAGCAGUCUUGACAAUGAGGCACCAGAACUUUUUCUUUAAUUUUGCACAUUUGUUGACUCCCAAAGAGUCAUGCUGCUUGUGGCAUUCAUGUGCCACAUAAACAUUGCUGCACAUGAAACAGUAGCAAUUGCACUCAGUGGCCACCACAGGAUUUUGCUCUGUGCUCUACCUCGGAAAUUGAUUGAAAAACAGGACAAAGAGCCAAAAUUUGAUCCGCCUUUCAAACAUCACUGAAUCCCAAUCGAAGCUAGAAUCUCCAAGAUGUGCACACCAGCAAACGAAAAGAUCCCCUGCUAAGGUCUUGGUACCAGACACCACGUGAAUCCUUACAAAGUAUAGAGCAGUACGUAUAAGGUGGUGUACAUGAAUACGUUUAAAUGUUUGUUUUUGAGUUUGACUGAAACCAAGUACAGCAGUUAGUCGUCUGAAGCGGUCUCUUGUUGAACAGCAAACCUCUCGCCUCCUAUUAAAAUAUGCACAACCCACACAGCUGCAAUAGCUACAUUUACAGGAAUAACACCAGAUUGAAAUAACCUGGAAUUAUUUCUCAAGGCAUUUUGUUAAUAGCAGUGAAAUCAACAUUUUUGCAUGAGAAAUAACAAAAGUGUGUUUUCAAUGCAAUUCCUUCUCUGUUUGGUAGAGGUCCUAACCUCCAGCAGGAGUACACUUACUGGAUGAUGAGCAGCAAAUCAGAAAAAGGACUCCAAUCGAGUGAUUUGAUUGUAAUCCUUGAACACAUCCUUAGAAAUUUCCCUUGAAGCAAAAUCUAAUGUAAGAUGAAUAUCACAUUUGUGUGAGAAGUUGGCCUUUAGAUAAUAAAAAAGUGAAAUGAUGCAGAGCUCAUUUCAAAGAUCCAGCCUGAUUAUUCAGUGCAUGUAAAGUAUUAAAGCAAACUGACCCAGUAAUAAAUGGUCCAGUCAAAUCUCUGCUUAGUCUUUGUUGCCAUUCAGAUCCUUUGUUAUUGUGGGUUUUUUUGUACUUUGAUUUAAUUUGGCUUUGUAUGUUUUUAACAAGUUUGCUUACCAAA